AUUGAACGCUGGCGGCAGGCCUAACACAUGCAAGUCGAACGAGUGGCGGACGGGUGAGUAAUGUCUGGGAAACUGCCUGAUGGAGGGGGAUAACUACUGGAAACGGUAGCUAAUACCGCAUACCAUCGGAUGUGCCCAGAUGGGAUUAGCGAGUUGGUGGGGUAACGGCGCACCUAGGCGACGAUCCCUAGCUGGUCUGAGAGGAUGACCGGCCACACGGGAACUGAGACACGGUCCAGACUCCUACGGGAGGCAUCAGUGGGGAAUAUUGCACAAUGGGCGCAAGCCUGAUGCAGCCAUGCCGGGUGUAUGAAGAAGGCCUUCGGGUUGUAAAGUACUUUCAGCGAGGAGGCGUUACUCGCAGAAGAAGCACCGGCUAACUCCGUGCCAGCUGCCGCGGUAAGAC
rnacentral:rRNA from 1 species